rnacentral:rRNA from 1 species
UACGUAGGGUGCAAGCGUUAAUCGGAAUUACUGGGCGUAAAGCGUGCGCAGACGGUUUUGUAAGUCUGUCGUGAAAUCCCCGGGCUCAACCUGGGAAUUGCGAUGGAGACUGCAAGGCUAGAAUCUGGCAGAGGGGGGUAGAAUUCCACGUGUAGCAGUGAAAUGCGUAGAGAUGUGGAGGAACACCGAUGGCGAAGGCAGCCCCCUGGGUCAAGAUUGACGCUCAUGCACGAAAGCGUGGGGAGCAAACAGG